rnacentral:rRNA from 1 species
AGCGCGCCCUUCGGGGUGAGCGGCGGACGGGUUAGUAACGCGUGGGAAUAUGCCCGACACUAAGGAAUAGUCUCUGGAAACGGAGAGUAAUACCUUAUACGCCCUUCGGGGGAAAGAUUUAUCGGUGACGGAUUAGCCCGCGUUAGAUUAGAUAGUUGGUGGGGUAAUGGCCUACCAAGUCUACGAUCUAUAGCUGGUUUUAGAGGAUGAUCAGCAACACUGGGACUGAGACACGGCCCAGACUCCUACGGGAGGCAGCAGUGGGGAAUCUUGGACAAUGGGCGCAAGCCUGAUCCAGCCAUGCCGCGUGAGUGAUGAAGGCCUUAGGGUCGUAAAGCUCUUUCGCCAGGGAUGAUAAUGACAGUACCUGGUAAAGAAACCCCGGCUAACUCCGUGCCAGCAGCCGCGGUAAUACGGAGGGGGUUAGCGUUGUUCGGAAUUACUGGGCGUAAAGCGCGCGUAGGCGGAUUAGUCAGUUAGAGGUGAAAUCCCGGGGCUCAACCCCGGAACUGCCUUUAAUACUGCUAGUCUUGAGUUCGAGAGAGGUGAGUGGAAUUCCGAGUGUAGAGGUGAAAUUCGUAGAUAUUCGGAGGAACACCAGUGGCGAAGGCGGCUCACUGGCUC